rnacentral:rRNA from 1 species
UGUAUAAUGGGUCAGCGACUUAUAUUCUGUAGCAAGGUUAACCGAAUAGGGGAGCCGAAGGGAAACCGAGUCUUAACUGGGCGUUAAGUUGCAGGGUAUAGACCCGAAACCCGGUGAUCUAGCCAUGGGCAGGUUGAAGGUUGGGUAACACUAACUGGAGGACCGAACCGACUAAUGUUGAAAAAUUAGCGGAUGACUUGUGGCUGGGGGUGAAAGGCCAAUCAAACCGGGAGAUAGCUGGUUCUCCCCGAAAGCUAUUUAGGUAGCGCCUCGUGAAUUCAUCUCCGGGGGUAGAGCACUGUUUCGGCAAGGGGGUCAUCCCGACUUACCAACCCGAUGCAAACUGCGAAUACCGGAGAAUGUUAUCACGGGAGACACACGGCGGGUGCUAACGUCCGUCGUGAAGAGGGAAACAACCCAGACCGCCAGCUAAGGUCCCAAAGUCAUGGUUAAGUGGGAAACGAUGUGGGAAGGCCCAGACAGCCAGGAUGUUGGCUUAGAAGCAGCCAUCAUUUAAAGAAAGCGUAAUAGCUCACUGGUCGAGUCGGCCUGCGCGGAAGAUGUAACGGGGCUAAACCAUGCACCGAAGCUGCGGCAGCGACACUAUGUGUUGUUGGGUAGGGGAGCGUU